AAAGCACUUGCAACUAUGACAUCAUGUCACUCAUGCUAGGAAUUGAACUUAACGCGAUUGUGACUAGCAACCUUUACUACAUAUGAAUAUAAGUUUGUAACGAUUAUGUGAAACAUCCUUAUACUCUAGCAUCAGAUUUAUGCAUGCCAAUCAAGUGUCGACCCCUAAUUAACAAACACAAAUAAGUUAUUAAUCAAAUAGUUAAACCAAUUGCAUUCACGAUUCAAGAAUUCAUAACUGGAAUUUAUCAAAUCAAAUUGCACACAUAGUCAUGGCUUUGAAAUCACCCCUAACCAAUAGGGGUUUAGCCACUCAUGUUCAUAGCAAAACGAAAAGAAAAAAAAUUACACAUUGAAAUCAUAGAACGAAUUACACCUAGAAUGCACCAACAAUGAAGCUUGGACAUCCAAGGGUCCUUUCUUCUUCCUUCUUGCUGCAGCACACAAGUGGGUGAGUGUAUGGAUUGUGUUUAGGCUCAGAAGUUAUGGAGAUUGGUGAAGGAUGGGCACGGCAAAGGGAGGUUGGAUGGUUUCUGCAUGAAUGGGAGUGAAUGAAUUGUUAUGGAUGGAUAUAGGUUGGUUAUCGUGAAGGGUGGAGUCCUUAGAAUGGUCAGAAAGGGGUCUUAUUUAUAGGGAAAGGAAGGGCUACGAAUUUAUUAAAUUUGGAAUCAGAAAUCAAUGGAAAAUAGGCAAGAAAGGUGCAGAAAUUAAAGAGAAUGUGAAAGGAAAUUCGAAAGAGAGUGUAGGACAGAUUUAGGGAUGUGUUUUGAGGCACAAAAUAGGUAAGAAUCCUCUCCCCUUGUGCAGCAAGAAUUGAAACAAAAGGGAAUGUAAUUUUGGGUCAGAAAUAGGUAAGAAAGAAUCAAAAAUUAAAGAGAAAUAGGUAACAAAGAUGUGGCACAAUAUAGGAAAGGUACUUAAGGUCAGAAAUUAAAAGGGAAAGAGGAUGUAUGGUGCGGCAAGGGACAAGGGAGAAAGGGAAAUGUGUUUUUGGUUCAGAAAUUAGGGAAACAUGGCAAGUGAAAUUGUUGCACAAGAGGAGACAAGGAGGAAACACAAAGGGGACAAGGCGCCACCUUUGUAGGAGGUGCUGAAAUUGUGUCUUCUAAGCUUCCAAACUGACUUCUAACAUCCUUUAGGCCUUCAAUUUCGUCAAUCAAUAUUACUCCAAGCAUAAGCUAUUCAAUUCAUGCCAAAAACUGCUCCAAAAGGCUCCAAAAUGCAUCUUUUUGUAUACUUUGUCCUUAGAACCUGAAAUUGCACGAAAAUAGCUUAAAAUACUAAAAUUACUAAGUACUAGCAACGUAAAUGCAAGGAAACAAGCUAAUUAAGUCGCAUAAAUAUGCUCCUAUCAAAUUCCCCCUCACUUAGCUUUUGCUAGUCCUCGAGCAAAACAAAACAAAACAAAGCACAACCUAGACCUUCCAACAAUUGUCUUAGGGAUUUCCAAUGCAUAUGACAUGCUAAAAAUCAUUACUUACACAUAUUUUAGUCAUCCUUACCCUCGAGCACAUACUUAAUCGUAGUCACCAUUCACUAGUUCGCAUAUAAUCCAUUAAAACAACGUUUUUGAAUGUAGUAACAUGCCUUAAAGAAUUCCCUCAAUUACUUACUAGAUAUGCACUCAAUUUUCACUCAGAUUUUCUGACUACACACCCUACACUAGGUAUAUGUGAGAAGAUUGAUGUAAACAUGUAAACUAGUACUCACAUAUGUUAUAGCAAAGAAAGGACUUUUCUGGAAUUAUUAAUGCAUGUAUAUAUAUGAUCUCAUGAACGGAAUGCUACUACUUAGAAGCGAGAACCAGUGAUAUCAUAUGCUCAUACCAAUUCCAAACUCCACAUAUUGAAAUACACAACACUCAAGAUAGAAGUCUAAGGGUUGUAACGGGGCUAAAGGUAUUGGCUAACAAAGAAAGGUAAGGAAAAACAAACGUUCUUAAAGAAAUAGUAAGCAAAUUAAAGAAAUAGUAAGCAAGGUAAUGAAAUUGACACUUAGAAUUACUUUUGAAUGCAAAAAUCAACUUUUAAACACAAGGGAAGAUUCAUGCAACACUUAGGGUCAAAUUCAAACUUUUGGACCCUUUCUUCAACAACCAACACAUGUGAGUUCAUUCUCACUUAUUUUUCAACUCUUUUUCAUACUUUUCACACACUUUUCUUCUUCUUUUUCUUUUUCCACGAAAUUUUUUUUUAUUUUUUUUUAUGCCCUUUUCUUUCUUUUGACACACAAAACACACUUUGAAAACCCUUCCCCCACACUUGUUUUUCUGCAAAAAUCAAAGGGAAUUCCCUCUAAGUCAUGCUUCACUAUUCUUUAAGAACAAGGGUGUGGACAGUCCUAAUCUAGGCUAGGUAGGGAUAAUGUGGUUAACAAAGAAAAUAGGCUAACGAAGGCUCAAAGGGGUUAAACCUACAAAACAUAUGACAAGGGUGGAUUUGGCUAUUUGGCUUUGGUGGUAACUAAACAACUUCAUCUUGAAUAUGUGUUAUGCAAAUCAAUAACAUGCUUUGAAUGGAAGGGGCAUGAGUUCUAGUAUUUGGAUCUAUAAUGAUGAAACGCAUUCUAAGUAGCGACCAAGCAAAGAAUGAUGAGAUCAUGCAAUGACUUUAGAAAACAAGAAUGCACAGAUUAAUAACUCUCCAAAUAACGUUUAGGCUCAAGUCUCACAGGGUUGUAGCGUUAAUUUGAGUUCCUUCCUUCAAGCAUGUUACAAAAACUAAUUUUUUUUUCUUUUGUGAUUGCAUGCGAAUUCGUAAACUAUAACUACAACCAAGCAUAAACCAAAGAGCAUAUCAAACUUCCAUCCAUGUUUGUAACUUUCUUUAACAGUCAUGUAAUUAAAAACCAAAUCCUCAUCAUUGUGUUGGAAUGUACCCUAAGACACAAACAAACACACAAAAACAACUCUUUUUGGCUUUUUCAAAACAAUUUUUCAAAUUUUUAUCAAAUUUUCGGAUUUUUACUUCAACACACACCAAACAGCUCAAAAUGCACUAAAAACACUUAAAAACAGUGAGAAACAGCUUUAGAGGGGAUAGGUAAUAAAACCCACGAAUUUGCAUCAAAAUACUUUGUUAUCCCCCCACACUUAAAUCAAACAUUGUCUCAAUGUUUUAAGCAUAAACUCACAGAAAGCAAACAAACAAACAAAAAACAACUAAUUUUGAUAAAAUAAAGGCAGCAAAGAUAAGGGUUUAGGAACGCAAAUCUGAGUGUGGAGUGAAAGUUCCAUCGUUCCUAAGUUGAAUGCAUGGGUUGCCUCCCAAGAAGCGCUUGCUUUAACGUCUUGCAGCCGGAUGAAGACCUCCAAUUAAGCUCCAUUGGUGGCCAGGGCAUGGAAUUGAUCUUUGAAUGGACGGUGAUACUUUAAAUGAUCCGGCAAUGGUUUAAAUUCUAACGUGGGUGCCUGAAUCAUCAAAAUCAACAUGUUAGUAGAAAACGUAUUUGAAAUUGGAGAAAAUAUCUUACCUUUUUGCUCCGAUAAGAACUCAAGGACGAACACCACUUCUUUGAAUGUUUCAGGGACUUUGAAUUUGGCCAGAUUUACUACGAUGGUUGUGAUCUAUCCCGUGUCAUCAAACUCAACUUCUUUGGGCUUUGUUGUUUCAAAUACGUCCUCUUUGAUGAAUUAUUGACAUUCUCCAACCACUUCUUUUUCUUGAAUCCUUCUUUUUGAUGUACAAAGUUCUUCAAACAAUUCAACACAAUCUGAAACUUGGUUUGCUGUACCAAGAAUUUGGAUAUCACUUUGCACCUUGGGAAGAGCUUCCACAAUGUCUUUUUCACUCUCUUCUUGCUUGGGAAUCAAAAACCUGCGAGGAAAAGGGACAUUGGGUGGAAUAAGGUUAGAAUUAACGAAAAUUGGACCCAACUUACCUGUAUUGGACAGUGGUGGAGCAUUGGGAGGCUGCGGCAAGGGUAGGCUGCGGCAAGGGUGGUUCUUCCCUUGCCGUGGCCUUGUCAUCCUCUUCUUCUUUGAACAAUAGCUGUUCAUCCAUGUUUUGGAUUGGUUUGGACGUUUUUGGGCUUGUUCCAACCUCCAUGCCACUUUCCAAAGUGAUAGCAUCUUGGAUUUCAAAAUUUUCCUUCAAAUUUUCUAUAGUUGAGUUGGAGAGUUCACUUUGCUCUUGAAUUUGUGCCAUGAACUCCAUAAUCUGCCCAAUUUGCUCCUCCAAUUUGCCCGUCUUCGUGGCUUGAUUUUGCAUCUCUUUGUUUUGAUUUUCUACUUCCUGAUUCAAAGAGGUGAGUAACUUAUUCAACAUAUCAUUAUCCAGAGAUGUACCUGAAUUGAAUUGGGCAGAUUGUUGUGGUGGCUGUGAUGGUGCAUAUGGCCAUUGAUAGAACUCUUCUUGCUGCCAAUAUCCACCAUGUUGGAAUUGUUGAGGUUCUCCCCACAUGUAAUCUGAAUAAUCUCUCCAAUCCGAAUUGUAAGCGUUGGAAAACAUGUUGUCCCAUGAUUGGCUAUGGCAUUGAUAACCCCAAGCAUCUUCAUUUGCAGCGAAUUGAGAACAUUGAUGAGUUGGAUAUCCUUGCCCAUAGGACACACCACAUGUAGGGACACUUUGCAUUGUGGUCCUUCCGGCAAUCUGUGACAAUUGAGAAGUAAGAUUCGCCAAUUGAGCUUGAAUGUUAGCAAAAUCCAUGUCUUACUUCUCUAGUACCUGAAAUCAAAGAAACAAAACUAAAUCAAAUAUCAAAAGUAAAUAAAACAAAGCAAAACAAAAUCAGUAACUAAAACAAAAGACACAAAAAAGAAAUAAAAAUAAACAACGGGGGAUUAGCAAAGUUGCUAAUCCCCGGCAACGGCGCCAAAAAUUUGAUGCGAAAUAUAUAAGCACACAAAUUAAACCCUCUUUUUAUCAAUUGUAGCAAAGUAUGUAAGUAGGGAUCAUUCUAAACCGGGGAUUAUGAGGGAUUGCUAAACUCUUGAAAACUGACUUAAAAACGUAAAAACAAAGUUUAACACACUAAACUAGACUCAAAGAAUGCAAAACUAAAAUUUAAAACACUAAAACAAACCAAAAGACUCAAAACAGCAACCAAACACUCAAAACUGCCUUAAAAACACUUUCUGGACAGUUUUGAACACAAACACAAAUUUUGACGAAAUUGGGUUACAACUUGAAUCAAAGCACUUAAAAACACAAACUAAAUGGAUUUCUAACUAAUCUAACACUUUAAAAUAAAGGGGGAUUUGGUUUUGACGAAAUUGAAAACAAGACAAAACGUUGUAAUUAAAACAGAUUGUAAAACGAAUUUGGAGUUUAAAUGGAUGAUGGAUUAGUUAGAGGCUCUUUCUCCACACAUGACACGUAUGCAAACGACUCGAUUUCCAGUUAUUCCUUCAUAGAAUUAUGAACGACAGUGCCUCAAAUUAACCGUGACAUCACUAGCUAACUCUCAGAUUUUCCUUGUAUUAUUGGAUUGGAUGGCAUCAUUCACAACAACCAAAGCAGCAUUCUUCAAAGGUCCCCUACAUGACAUCAUAUAAUAGAGAUACGAUCAAAGAUCAUUACGUUCAAUGAAAACCAUAAGCAAUGACAAAGCACUUGCAACUAUGACAUCAUGUCACUCAUGCUAGGAAUUGAACUUAACGCGAUUGUGACUAGCAACCUUUACUACAUAUGAAUAUAAGUUUGUAACGAUUAUGUGAAACAUCCUUAUACUCUAGCAUCAGAUUUAUGCAUGCCAAUCAAGUGUCGACCCCUAAUUAACAAACACAAAUAAGUUAUUAAUCAAAUAGCUAAACCAAUUGCAUUCACGAUUCAAGAAUUCAUAACUGGAAUUUAUCAAAUCAAAUUGCACACAUAGUCAUGGCUUUGAAAUCACCCCUAACCAAUAGGGGUUUAGCCACUCAUGUUCAUAGCAAAACGAAAAGAAAAGAAAUUACACAUUGAAAUCAUAGAACGAAUUACACCUAGAAUGCACCAACAAUGAAGCUUGGACAUCCAGGGGUCCUUUCUUCUUCCUUCUUGCUGCAGCACACAAGUGGGUGAGUGUAUGGAUUGUGUUUAGGGUCAAAAGUUAUGGAGAUUGGUGAAGGAUGGGCACGGCAAAGGGAGGUUGGAUGGUUUCUGCAUGAAUGGGAGUGAAUGAAUUGUUGUGGAUGGAUAUAGGUUGGUUAUCGUGAAGGGUGGAGUCCUUAGAAUGGUCAGAAAUGGGUCUUAUUUAUAGGGAAAGGAAAGGCUACGAAUUUAUUAAAUUUGGAAUCAGAAAUCAAUGGAAAAUAGGCAAGAAAGGUGCAGAAAUUAAAGAGAAUAUGAAAGGAAAUUCGGAAGAGAGUGUAGGACAGAUUUAGGAAUGUGUUUUGAGGCAUAAAAUAGGUAAGAAUCCUCUCCCCUUCUGCAGCAAGAAUUGAAACAAAAGGGAAUGUAAUUUUGGAUCAGAAAUAGGUAAGAAAGAAUCAGAAAUUAAAGAGAAAUAGGUAACAAAGAUGUGGCACAAUAUAGGAAAGGUACUUAAGGUCAGAAAUUAAAAGGGAAAGAGGAUGUAUGGUGCGGCAAGGGACAAGGGAGAAAGGGAAAUGUGUUUUUGGUUCUGAAAUUAGGGAAACAUGGCAAGGGAAAUUGUUGCACAAAAGGAGACAAGGAGGAAACACAAAGGGGACAAGGCGCCACCUUUGUAGGAGGUGCUGAAAUUGUGUCUUAUAAGCUUCCAAACUGACUUCUAACAUCCUUUAGGCCUUCAAUUUCGUCAAUCAAUAUUACUCCAAGCAUAAGCUAUUCAAUUCAUGCCCAAAACUGCUCCAAAAGGCUCCAAAAUGCAUCUUUUUGCAUACUUUGUCCUUAGAACCUGAAAUUGCACGAAAAUAGCUUAAAAUACUAAAAUUACUAAGUACUAGCAACGUAAAUGCAAGGAAACAAGCUAAAUAAGUCGCAUAAAUAUGCUCCUAUCAAUCACUUUCCUUUAGCUUGAGAGGGUGUGUUAAGAGUACAUCCUCACAUAGAAUCAAUGUAUCAAAACCACCACCAG
rnacentral:lncRNA from 1 species